AGUUGUCUGCAGCAGGGAAGGGAAGAGCGAAGACGGGGCUGUGCGAUGGGGUGAGCACUUGCUUUCUGUCCCAUGUGUGCUUAUCGUAUGUCCCCAGUUUAACGGUGAACUUGAGCAUAAGGGUGGUAUUUUCCAUCUCUCACUGCCCUGGGUGGAGCCCCUGGUAAGGACUGGCAAGAUAGGACUGAGCCGUCCCACAGUUGGAAGGUCAUCCAGCCCAACCACCUUGUUUGAGGAAACUGAAGUCAGAGUAGGUGAUCCCCACUUAAAGAUGCAUGGUGAGAAGUGGUGCUGGGCUGGAAGCCAGGUCCCGGCUUCCCCGUUCAGGCCUUCUCCCUACUCGUCUCAAUGACGUACGGGCACUGCUCCUCUCUGAUCUGUCUAAAGCCCCGUUGCCUCUGGGUGGUGCCCACUACGUGGCAUUCCAGGUUCCUUCCCUGCUGUGGGAGGGCUGUCUGCCUGGAGCCCAGGGCCUCACCGGUGAACAGGUGAUAGUCCAGCAGCUUCUCCUUGAUGACGUCAUAGGUCACCAUCUCAGCACAGUUGACGAUGGCAUUCCUCGUGAUGUUGGGGAAAGUUCCUGUUGGAAAGGGAGUGUGGGCUGAUAAAUGGGGAGUAGAAGAAGUGGAACCCUGGCUGCAAGGCCAUAGACCCCAGUUUGGGGGGCAUGGUGCCCCCUUCCAGUGGUCUUAGAGAGCCCAUCCACUCCACUGAGCAGAUUACACAUAACCUAGUGUUAACAACUCUCAGAUUAUCCAUGUCCUCCUUAGAGGCAGAAAACAGAGAGGCCCACUUGUGUUUGUUUGGGGAACAUUUUGGAGGAUAAUCUGCAAAACCUAUCAAAAUUUACAUAUACUCCCGAGACUUGUCUAAAGGAAGUCUUUCUUUGGAAGAGGAAGGUGGGCUCUUGCAACAGUGACAGAGUGCAAUGUUGGCAGCGUCCAGGAGCGCAUCAAGACCAGCCCUUGGUUUCUCAGAGGAGAGCCAGGCUCCGGGAGGGCCCAGCGCAACCACCUCUCCAGCGUUUGCUUGGAAGGUCCUCCCUGCGAUCUCCACACUCAGAGCCUGCAGAGCCUUUGCGGCCCAGCUUCGGCGUCGCCUUCCCUCCAGAGCCCACAUGGCCCUCCUGCCUCCGGGACUGCAUCUCUUGUGGACCUCGCACAUCCUGCCCCGUGCCUGCACAUGGUGGAGGGUUGGCAAAUUGAGCUGAACUGGGAGCACUGUGCUGCUUGACAGAGUCAUAGAGGCCGAUGCGGAUGGAGGCGAAGCUCAUCUGGCGCUGCAGGCCGGCGACCAGCCCGCUGUAGGGGCUGCGGAGACCUUCGGUGCGCACCAUGGUCAGGAUGGUGCCCAGCACGCCGCGGUACUGGACGCUCCGGGCCGCCUGGGAUGCCUGGCUCUCCCCCUGGAUCUGGGGGACACCCCGCAGAGGAAGGUUAAGUGCUGUGCCAAGGGGGAAAAGACAAGAGCUGGGAUUUGGACCUAUCAAGAGAACAUGGCUAGAGAACCUGGAUAGAACCUGGACAGAACCUGGCUGGAGAGCCUGGUGAGAGAACCUGGCUGGAGAACCUAUUGAGAGAACAUGGCUAAAGAACCUGGACAGAACCUGGCUG